UUAACACAUGCAAGUCGAACGGGAACUAUAGGAGCUUGCUCUUGUAGAUCUAGUGGCGGACGGGUGAGUAACGCGUAGGUAACCUACCUUAUACAGGGGGACAACACCGGGAAACUGGUGCUAAUACCGCAUAAUAUUGACUCAUGGCAUCAUGAGACAAUCAAAGGAGAAAUCCGGUAUGAGAUGGACCUGCGUCCAAUUAGCUAGUUGGUAAGAUAAAAGCUUACCAAGGCGACGAUUGGUAGCCGAACUGAGAGGUUGAUCGGCCACAUUGGGACUGAGACACGGCCCAAACUCCUGCGGGAGGCAGCAGUGGGAAUAUUGCGCAAUGGGGGAAACCCUGACGCAGCAACGCCGCGUGAAGGAUGAAGGCUUUCGGGUUGUAAACUUCUUUGAAUAGGGACGAAGAAAGUGACGGUACCUAUAAAACAAGCCACGGCUAACUACGUGCCAGCAGCCGCGGUAAUACGUAGGUGGCAAGCGUUGUCCGGAAUUACUGGGUGUAAAGGGCGUGUAGGCGGGAAAGCAAGUCAGAUGUGAAAGUCCAAGGCUUAACCAUGGAAGUGCAUCUGAAACUGUUUUUCUUGAGUGUCGGAGAGGAAAGUGGAAUUCCUAGUGUAGCGGUGAAAUGCGUAGAUAUUAGGAGGAACACCAGUGGCGAAGGCGGCUUUCUGGACGAUAACUGACGCUGAGGCGCGAAAGCGUGGGGAGCAAACAGGAUUAGAUACCCUGGUAGUCUACGCUGUAAACGAUGGAUACUAGGUGUAGGAGGUAUCGACCCCUUCUGUGCCGGAGUUAACACAAUAAGUAUCCCACCUGGGGAGUACGAUCGCAAGAUUGAAACUCAAAGGAAUUGACGGGGGCCCGCACAAGCAGUGGAGUAUGUGGUUUAAUUCGAAGCAACGCGAAGAACCUUACCAGGGUUUGACAUCCCUCGAAAAUCUAGGAGACUAGAUGUUCCUUCGGGACGAGGAGACAGGUGGUGCAUGGUUGUCGUCAGCUCGUGUCGUGAGAUGUUGGGUUAAGUCCCGCAACGAGCGCAACCCUUAUUGUUAGUUGCCAGCAAGUGAAGUUGGGCACUCUAGCGAGACUGCCGGCGAUAAGUCGGAGGAAGGUGGGGACGACGUCAAAUCACCAUGCCCCUUAUAUCCUGGGCUACACACGUACUACAAUGGCCGUUACAGAGGGCAGCGAAACCGCGAGGUGGAGCAAAUCCCCAAAGGCGGCCCCAGUUCGGAUUGCAGGCUGAAACUCGCCUGCAUGAAGACGGAAUUGCUAGUAAUGGCAGGUCAGCAUACUGCCGUGAAUACGUUCCCGGGCCUUGUACACACCGCCCGUCACACCAUGAGAGUUGGUAAUACCCGAAGUCAGUAGUUUAACCGUAAGGAGGACGCUGCCG
rnacentral:rRNA from 1 species